rnacentral:rRNA from 1 species
UACGUAGGGAGCAAGCGUUGUCCGGAAUCAUUGGGCGUAAAGCGCGCGUAGGUGGCCACAUAAGUCCGUUGUGAAAGUCAAAGGCUCAACCUUUGAAAGCCGAUGGAUACUGUGUGGCUAGAGUACGGAAGAGGCGAGUGGAAUUCCUGGUGUAGCGGUGGAAUGCGCAGAUAUCAGGAGGAACACCAAUAGCGAAGGCAGCUCGCUGGGACGGUAUUGACGCUAAGGCGCGAAAGCGUGGGGAGCAAACAGG